UACGGAGGGUGCGAGCGUUGUCCGGAAUCAUUGGGCGUAAAGGGCGCGUAGGUGGCCCGGUCAGUUCGUGGUGAAAGCGCGGGGCUCAACCCUGCGUCGGCCAUGAAUACUGCCGCGGCUGGAGCACUGUAGAGGCAGGCGGAAUUCCGGGUGUAGCGGUGAGAUGCGCAGAUAUCAGGAGGAACACCGGUGGCGAAGGCGGGUCUCUGGCUCGACCCUGACGCUGAGGCGCGAAAGCGUGGGGAGCGAACGGG
rnacentral:rRNA from 1 species